AUGGAUCACGGACUAAAAAUCGCAGUUUGGAAUGUUCGCGGCCUCAACUCGCGCGCCCGGCGUAGUGCAAUCCGCUCUCUGUUGGGCACUACCGGCGCCUCCAUUGUAUGUCUACAGGAAACUAAGAUGCUCGGAUUGGGAAGAUGCGCACGGCGAAUGCCACCUUCGAUGCCUUGCUUCGGUCGUGUCGGACCACUGUCCGUUGCUGUUGGAUUGCUCUCCCAUGCCGGCGGCGCACAAACGCUUCCACUUCAAGGAUUAUUGGCUCCGGUUAGACGGCUUCCACGACACCGUUGCCGCGGCUUGGAGCUCGGUGCAUGA
rnacentral:rRNA from 1 species